rnacentral:rRNA from 1 species
GACGAACCGUACGAACGUUAUUCGGAAUCACUGGGCUUAAAGGGUGCGUAGGCGGCGCGACAAGUUGGGUGUGAAAUCCCUCGGCUCAACCGAGGAACUGCGCCCAAAACUGUCGUGCUCGAGGGAGACAGAGGUGAGCGGAACUUAGGGUGGAGCGGUGAAAUGCGUUGAUAUCCUAAGGAACACCGGUGGCGAAAGCGGCUCACUGGGUCUCUGCUGACGCUGAGGCACGAAAGCUAGAGUAGCGAACGGG